CUCCUGACCACUGAAAUAGUACAAUACAUAUGCUAACAAACUUAAAUAAAGCCUUUGUUUAAGUUUGUUAGCAUAUGUAUUGUGCUGUUAAAGCCAUAUAAAGAAUGAAUGUCCUCCUUAGCUGUGUUCUGCUCCUUUAAGGAGCAGAGUGCAGCCCCCACCCCAGGGUGGGGGUGGGCGGGCUAGCCCCAAGUCUUUCCGGUAUCCCGUACCCACUAAAAAUCUCUUGCUGGUUCUGCGUACUGGAGGACACCACCCUACUUGCACCCCUGCUUACUAAUGAAUAGCACCAUUUUCUUUACUAGGACUACUUGUAGAGAAAGUUACCUCUCAGUGUGAGGAUGGGUGGCAGAACAGGGAUACUAAGGGACUGACUAUUUCCCCCUCUCCCCUGCUUAUGUUAUUCUUAGUACUACUUUAGUUCCCCCAUAAUGUUAAACUGUUACCGCUUGCUCAAGUGUGACACUUUGUUUAUUUUUGGUUUCAUUAAAGUUUUUUACAGACAGAAUUACCCAUCUGGUCCAGAGUAAAUACUUACACAUGCUUAGAUGGAAGAGAUUUUGUAGGCACAGCAGUGUUAUUGAACAGCUUUAUCCCCUCUAUCAGAAACAAAUUGGUCACAUUAUGCAGGAGUACAACGAUGCUGUUCAGAGGGCUGCGAGACUGUCGGCUGCACGACAGAACUUCCUGACAGGAAAGAAAAAUUCUGUAACUAUAGUGACACAGGAAGACCUGGUUAUUUACAUGCAGUGGUUAGUGUGUCACCUACACUCUCUCAAGGCCAUUCACAGCUAUCUUAGGGUACUCCAGUAUUUGCCUAUCUCUCACAGAAUGGAGGUGGUUAUUGAGAAACACCCUGAGGUGGCCCAGGAUAAUGGGGACAAAUUCAGAAGUGCCACUAUGUCUGAAUCCUUAUCCUCUAAUAUUCACUUCUCCCUUUGCCCCAGCAUUUCAGGAAGAGAGGGACCACACAGCAAGGAUGCUGUAUUCACGCUGCCCCAACACACAACAGAGACUGAAGAAUUGAAACCUCAGCUCCGACUUUUGCUUUCUCACUUUGGUGUCUGCUGUGAUACGGAGAAUCUCAAGAACUCUGCUAAUGAGAUGGAGCUUUUUUCCCUGGUCAUCCGGAAAUUUCGAAGUGUCUUCAGCAAACAGCAGACAAUGAGAACCUUUCCAGUGUAUGAUGCAGGGGUGCCUGGGGCAGAAAACUGGGGUAUUUUAGGACCUAGCAUGGCUUUGAAAAAGAGAGCCAACUGGAUUCCUUUUAUAAAGAUUAAGCCCAAACAAGAUCCCUGGCAGCAAAAGCUUUUGGCAAAACUGAAACAAUGGAAAAAAGUGGAUGAACUAUUGCAUCUUCAAUCAAAGUUUUUAGAGGUUUCUGAUAUGGAGCAAGUGAUUGACGUUCUCCAGGAGCAUGCGACAGAAGUGCUAGAGCCAAGUCCAGUGCGAUCAAGUUUUGUGACUUCUCACAGCUCAAGACAGCAUAACUAUGAUCGAAUCUGGGAGAGAAUUUAUAGCAACUCAGAGCUCCAGCAGGAUCAAAACACAGAGGAUAAUAAUCCUGCCGUGGCUAUGAAUGAGAAGGGUAUGGAAACUAUCAGUCUCAGCAAGAAUCCAGGAUCUUCCAGGAAGAAGAAAGAAAGAGGGUAAAACUAUAUUCUUCUUAGUAAAGAAAAAUAAAUGCUUACACUUGCCCCA
rnacentral:lncRNA from 1 species